AGACUGGCAUCACAGUGUCAAUUAAACCCUCAAAUCAAACUGUGACCAACUCCAGCAGUGAUGACCCAUGGUACAGUCACAUUAUAAUGGCUGGUGUUCUCUCAGCGCUGGUAAUUCUGUCAGUAGUCGGGGUGGCAGUCGUCUGUAGUCACAGGAAAAAGCAAAACAACAAACCUAAAGAAGAGGAAGAUGAGCAAGAACCGACCUAUGCUAAUGUGAAGAUCGUGCAGCAGCAACGGAGGCAGAUGCAUCAGACGGCAGAGAUGGAGGCGGAGUACGGCCAAGUCAAGUUUUCAGGGUGACCUCGGA